CAAUAGCGUAUAUUAAAGUUGUUGCGGUUAAAAAGCUCGUAGUUGGAUUUCUGUCGAGGGCGGCCGGUCCGCACUACGUGCGUGUAUCUGGUUUGGCCUUGGCAUCCUCUUGGGGAACGUCUCUGCGCUUAAUUGCGUGGAGCGGUAUUCAAGACUUUACUUUGAGGAAAUUAGAGUGUUCACGGCAGGCCUUCGCCUUGAAUAUAUUAGCAUGGAAUAAUAAUAUAGGACCUUGGUUCUAUUUUGUUGGUUUCUAGAGCUGAGGUAAUGAUUAAUAGGGAUAUUUGGGGGUAUUUGUAUUACACGGUCAGAGGUGGAAUUCUUGGAUUCGUGUACGACAAACUACUGCGAAAGCAUUUAUCAAGGAUGUUUUUCAUUGAUCAAGAACGAAAGUGUGGGAUCGAAGACGAUUAGAU
rnacentral:rRNA from 1 species